UAUUAUUGAUGAUGAUUAAUUUGCACCUGGGAAAUAUAAAAUUUAAGGAUAUUAUUAAAUUAAAUAUACAAUUAUGAAUAUUUUAUAUAACUACAACUUUGUUAUUCUGUAUUACAGCCCAGACCUUGAAUAUCUACCGAUGACAACCAAAGUAUGACCAAGAUCUUUAUUGUAUGGUUGUCACGGUCUGUUUUAAUUGAUUAUAUUCUGGGCUGUUUAUUUAGGAAAUUUCUAAUAACAUCGACAAUCAAUUGAAAUAUAUUCUUCAUUAUUUUAUUAAAAUACUUGAAUAUAUAAUACGUGAAUAAUCUCAACGAAAAUAAUAGAUGUAGAAACAAAAAUUAUUUGGGAACUGGGGAUAAUUAACACACUGGCAAUAUUCGUACUUUUUAUUUUUAUUUAUUCAUCUUUUUUUUAUUGAAAUUAAUAUGACUAUGAUGUUGAAAUAAUCCAUAGACAACCGCGAUUAAAUACACACUAGUUGAUGGAAAAAAAAUAAAAUAAAUAUACAUUGAUAUGUUGAAAAUUUGUAUCUAAUUGCUUCUGAAGAUUUUUUCAUUAAUUUCAGUUUAAAAUAUUUAUUAACUUGAUUUAUUCUCCAAUUACAGUUUUGUAUAGCUGCUUAUGGCUGAUUUAAUUCAACUCAAUGAUGCUGAUUUUAUUGGAAAAUAUAAAACUACAAUUUUGAAAUUUAUAAACUCAGUUGAAUGUGCUGAAUUGUGGAUCAACUGUUACAGUCUUGGACUGGGAACUAACAAGAAACUUCUUCGUAGCAGACAACAUUUUUGAAGACAAAAAAAUGUUGAAGACAGCCAUCAUCAUAAACUUGAAAUCAAUAAUUUAGAUUUUGUACAAGAACUUGUGCUGACAUCAUUUUUAUGGACCACAAAAAAGUUGGGGACAACAUUGAACAUGAAUCUAAAUGAAUACAUUAGAUUCAUGAAAACUAAGCAAGCAGAGCAACACUCUGAUGAAAAUCAAUACUGCUCUCAAAUCCAGGGUUCCAAAAAGUCCAUGGAAAAGCUAAACUUCUGAUGAAUAUUCUAGAAUUUGGAAAGAAUUAACACAAGCAAAAUCGAUUCAACAUCAGACUCAUUUAGAUUUAAAAAAGAGGCGAUGAACAAAUAUCGAUUGAGCUCUGGUCAUCCAAUUAUCAACAGAAUAAUUUAGGUUUAAAAAAGAUGAACAAACUAAUUGGGCUUUAAUCAUCCAAUUAUUAAACUAACAAUUUAGAUAUGAUCAUUGAUGAUAACGUUACCUCAUGCUGAUGAAAACAACGUUUAUAAAAAGGUAAAUAACUUGAAUAAAUAAUCUCUUAAAUAUUAUAAUUAAUUUUUUUAUAUGAUGAGCAAUGGCUAGAGUCCUGAAUUGAAGAUGACAAACCAAUAUUCGUUCAACCUCUGAUUAAAAAAAAAAAACAAUAAAUAUAAAUCUCAAUUUUAAUUGAUAAACUCAAUUUUUAAUUAAAACUCAUUUUCUGUUUCAGUGAUGGGGUGUGAAGCUCUUCAAACGAAAUUAAUUUCAUCAAAUAAUUGUAUUUAUUUUGUUGUUUUUUAAAAAAAUAAAAAAACCAUAAUUAAAAUUUAAAAA